GUCUACAGCCGUUUUCACCCAAUGUGCCCAAUCUCAUCGGUUCUUGCAAACUUUAGCAGGGUAGAGCUUAGUUAAUAUUUGGAUGGGUGACCACCAGGGCUUGCCAGGCAUUGUGGGUG
rnacentral:rRNA from 1 species